GGGAUUGAUUUUUCGUUUUUUUUAAUUGCAUGAUUUUGGUUUUUUUGGAUUGUUUAGUUGUAUUAGAUUGAUUUUUAGUUUUGAGUUGCAUGUGAAUUAACCUUGAUUUUAUUUUAGCAUGUAAUUAGCUUCUUUUUUUUUUUUUUUCUAGUGUAUGAUUUGCAUUUUUAUCAUUAGUGAAUGAACAUUUUUUUUUUUUAAUGUGAGCUUAUGUGAGCAUGAGCAUGUGAGAGUUUGAGAUUCACUUUAAAGAAAAUCCUAUAAAAAGGAAUGGUUUCUUGCAUGUGGGAUUUUCCCAAAAAGGGUAUUUUUUUAGAAAAUGGAGAGGUCUUCAUGUUUUUU
rnacentral:lncRNA from 1 species